AAUGAACGCUGACAGAAUGCUUAACACAUGCAAGUCAACUUGAACUUCGGUUUGGGUGGCGGACGGGUGAGUAACGCGUAAAGAACUUGCCUCACAGAUAGGGACAACAUUUGGAAACGAAUGCUAAUACCUGAUAUUAUGAUUAUAUGGCAUCGUAUAAUUAUGAAAGCUAUAUGCGCUGUGAGAGAGCUUUGCGUCCCAUUAGCUAGUUGGAGAGGUAACGGCUCACCAAGGCGAUGAUGGGUAGCCGGCCUGAGAGGGUGAUCGGCCACAAGGGGACUGAGACACGGCCCUUACUCCUACGGGAGGCAGCAGUGGGGAAUAUUGGACAAUGGACCAAGAGUCUGAUCCAGCAAUUCUGUGUGCACGAUGAAGUUUUUCGGAAUGUAAAGUGCUUUCAGUUGGGAAGAAAAAAAUGACGGUACCAACAGAAGAAGUGACGGCUAAAUACGUG
rnacentral:rRNA from 1 species